AACGAACGCUGGCGGCAUGCCUAACACAUGCAAGUCGUACGAGACCUUCGGGUCUAGUGGCGCACGGGUGCGUAACGCGUGGGAACCUGCCCUUAGGUUCGGAAUAACUCCCCGAAAGGGGUGCUAAUACCGGAUAAUGUCUUCGGACCAAAGAUUUAUCGCCUUUGGAUGGGCCCGCGUUGGAUUAGCUAGUUGGUAGGGUAAAAGCCUACCAAGGCGACGAUCCAUAGCUGGUCUGAGAGGAUGAUCAGCCACACUGGGACUGAGACACGGCCCAGACUCCUACGGGAGGCAGCAGUGGGGAAUAUUGGACAAUGCGCGAAAGCCUGAUCCAGCAAUGCCGCGUGAGUGAUGAAGGCCUUAGGGUUGUAAAGCUCUUUUACCCGGGAUGAUAAUGACAGUACCGGGAGAAUAAGCUCCGGCUAACUCCGUG
rnacentral:rRNA from 1 species